rnacentral:pre_miRNA from 1 species
GUAGAUCGUUUGGCGAUAAGCGGUGAACAGUGAUUUACAGUGAAGGCCAAACAUCUACCA